AACGCGAAGAACCUUACCAGGUCUUGACAUCCUUUGACCAUUCUGGAGACAGAACUUUCCCUUCGGGGACAAAGUGACAGGUGGUGCAUGGUUGUCGUCAGCUCGUGUCGUGAGAUGUUGGGUUAAGUCCCGCAACGAGCGCAACCCUUGAUUUUAGUUGCCAGCAUUUAGUUGGGCACUCUAAAGUGACUGCCGGUGUAAGCCGGAGGAAGGUGGGGAUGACGUCAAAUCAUCAUGCCCCUUAUGACCUGGGCUACACACGUGCUACAAUGGAUAAUACAAAGGGUCGCGAAGCCGCGAGGUGGAGCCAAUCCCAUAAAAUUAUUCUCAGUUCGGAUUGCAGGCUGCAACUCGCCUGCAUGAAGCCGGAAUCGCUAGUAAUCGUAGAUCAGCAUGCUACGGUGAAUACGUUCCCGGGCCUUGUA
rnacentral:rRNA from 1 species